rnacentral:tRNA from 1 species
UGUAGGUAUCGUUUAAAAAGGACAUUAGAUUGUGAUUCUAAAAAUAAGGGUUAAAGCCCCUUUACCCACC